rnacentral:rRNA from 1 species
AGUCGAACGAUGAACCUCCUUCGGGAGGGGAUUAGUGGCGAACGGGUGAGUAACACGUGGGCAAUCUGCCCUGCACUCUGGGACAAGCCCUGGAAACGGGGUCUAAUACCGGAUACGAGUUUCACAGGCAUCUGUGAUUCUGGAAAGCUCCGGCGGUGCAGGAUGAGCCCGCGGCCUAUCAGCUUGUUGGUGAGGUAACGGCUCACCAAGGCGACGACGGGUAGCCGGCCUGAGAGGGCGACCGGCCACACUGGGACUGAGACACGGCCCAGACUCCUACGGGAGGCAGCAGUGGGGAAUAUUGCACAAUGGGCGCAAGCCUGAUGCAGCGACGCCGCGUGAGGGAUGACGGCCUUCGGGUUGUAAACCUCUUUCAGCAGGGAAGAAGCGAAAGUGACGGUACCUGCAGAAGAAGCGCCGGCUAACUACGUGCCAGCAGCCGCGGUAAUACGUAGGGCGCAAGCGUUGUCCGGAAUUAUUGGGCGUAAAGAGCUCGUAGGCGGCUUGUCGCGUCGGAUGUGAAAGCCCGGGGCUUAACCCCGGGUCUGCAUUCGAUACGGGCAGGCUAGAGUUCGGUAGGGGAGAUCGGAAUUCCUGGUGUAGCGGUGAAAUGCGCAGAUAUCAGGAGGAACACCGGUGGCGAAGGCGGAUCUCUGGGCCGAUACUGACGC